GACGAACGCUGGCGGCGUGCCUAACACAUGCAAGUCGAACGAUCCCCUCCGGGGGAUAGUGGCGGACGGGUGAGUAACGCGUGAACAAUCUGCCCUGUACAGCGGAAUAGCCUCGGGAAACCGGGAUUAAAACCGCAUAACACUUCAGUAUCGCAUGAUACAAAAGUCAAAUUGAUUAAGAGGUAUAGGAUGAGUUCGCGUCUGAUUAGCUAGUUGGUGAGGUAAAGGCCUACCAAGGCGACGAUCAGUAGCCGGCCUGAGAGGGUGAACGGCCACACUGGAACUGAGACACGGUCCAGACUCCUACGGGAGGCAGCAGUGGGGAAUAUUGCACAAUGGAGGGAACUCUGAUGCAGCGACGCCGCGUGAGUGAAGAAGGUCUUCGGAUCGUAAAACUCUGUCCUUGGUGAAGAUAAUGACGGUAACCAAGGAGGAAGCCCCGGCUAACUACGUGCCAGCAGCCGCGGUAAGCGAUACUCGUA
rnacentral:rRNA from 1 species